rnacentral:lncRNA from 1 species
UGCUUUUUGUACUUUUUUGCUCUUCUUCUUUUCCUAUAUUUACUACCAUUUGCCACUUAUGGACCCACCUUAAAACACCUUUAUUAUUUUUAUAUUCUAUAUUUACUACACUUUAUCACUAGUGGAGCCACUCACAACACAUUUAUCACUUUAGUCAACUAUCUUUAUUACUUUAGUCAACUACCCUUAUAUUUCAUCCACAUCACCUUUUUUACCUUUCUUAGUCUCCGUGCCCACACUAAAGUGGGGCAUUAAAUUGUGGACGGAGGGAGUAUAUAAUACCUCUCUCUCCCCUUUUAUGGACUUGAAGAAGAAGCUUCAUGUAUCGGUAAGUACCUAAAAAGCCUUUCAGUCUGAAAAGAAAAAAGUUCAAAUGAAGUAAGCAAUUAUAAGAAGAAAAAAACUCGAUGAUUAAUAACAUGAAGAAAAAUUGCAGCUUUUAAUAUAAAAAAGCUAGAAAAACUACACCCAAAAUGUAGCAGAGCAACGAAAGCAACACUUGAGCAGUUAUUGAUCCUCUAAAUAAUGCAAGAAUAAGAUACCUAGACCAUCAGUGACUGCAAUUAUAUACGAAACAAUAGCACCAACACAUCAAGAUCAAGGAAAGUUGCCUUCUUAAUAAGAAUUUUUUAAAUAUUUUUAAUAUAAAGUUUAUACCAAACUUCUGCUGGCUAGAAUUGUACAUGUUCAACUCAAAAAAAAAAAAAAAAAAAAAAUUGUACAUGUUACAACUUACAUGUAUUAUGGAAUUAUAGGAUUGCAAGCCAAUGGUCUACGAAUGUAUCCACCUAGCAAUUAACACAAAAAUGAGCGAAUGUCAAAUUCAAAAAAAUAUACCUUGAAAUCUUUUUUUCUGGGCACAAAAAGAGACAAAGAGAUGGCAUUAGAGUGGACGCGGCAGAAUUUAGUUUAAGGUGAACUAAUGAGUUCAUAACUAAAAAUAUAGGUUAAAAAGUUUUCAUUGUUAAACAUUUACCUAAAUGAUUGUAUAAAUUUUUAUAAUUUUCAAAAUCUGUUCUUUCUAAAGUUGAGCUCUAAUUAUUCUAAAUUUGCAAACAUAAUCUUUGCUAAUAGAAUACUUACCAUGGCAGACGAGCCCGACAGCGACGAUGAUGGCGAUUUCUAGCCUGACGGCUGAGUGGCGGCCGGCGAGAGAAGCAGACAGAGGUGAGGGGUGGAUUUAGCGACGACUGUGCCCUGAAAUGGAGAAGCUCUCGACUUUCAGCUCUGUAAUUUAUGUAGCUGCAGAGAAGAGUACUCUGCGGAAAGGGAAACGUAUUUUUGUUCGUUGAGAGCGCACGUCUGCUCGAGAGUUAUGGAUGCGGCGCCGGCCUCCGCCUUCACCGUCUCUAUCUGAUUGUACAGUCCACAACUGAAAUCGUUCGCCUUCUCCGCAAAAGU